rnacentral:rRNA from 1 species
GACGAACGCUGGCGGCGUGCCUAACACAUGCAAGUCGAGCGGGGGGAGUACUUCGGUACAGACCUAGCGGCGGACGGGUGAGUAACACGUGGGUAACCUGCCUCAAAGUGGGGGAUAGCCUUCCGAAAGGAAGAUUAAUACCGCAUAACCCAUAGCUUCCGCAUGGAAGCAAUGGUAAAGAUUUAUCGCUUUGAGAUGGACCCGCGGCGCAUUAGCUAGUUGGUGAGGUAACGGCUCACCAAGGCCACGAUGCGUAGCCGACCUGAGAGGGUGAUCGGCCACAUUGGAACUGAGACACGGUCCAGACUCCUACGGGAGGCAGCAGUGGGGAAUAUUGCACAAUGGGCGAAAGCCUGAUGCAGCAACGCCGCGUGAGUGAUGAAGGCCUUCGGGUUGUAAGGCUCUGUCUUUUGGGACGAUAAUGACGGUACCAAAGGAGGAAGCCACGGCUAACUACGUGCCAGCCGCCGCAGUAAUAC